rnacentral:rRNA from 1 species
GGACUACACGGGUAUCUAAUCCUGUUUGCUCCCCACGCUGUCGCGCCUCAGCGUCAGCAACGGCCCAGCAGAACGCCUUCGCCACCGGUAUUCUUCCCGAUCUCUACGCAUUCCACCGCUACACCGGGAAUUCCAUCUGCCUCUACCGUGCUCGAGCCCGCCAGUCUUGCCGGCAGCCCCGGAGUUGAGCCCCGGGAUUUCACCAGCAACUUAACGAACCGCCUACGCGCCCUUUACGCCCAGUGAUUCCGGACAACGCUCGCACCCUCCGUAUUACCGCGGCUGCUGGCAC